GAUGAACGCUAGCUACAGGCUUAACACAUGCAAGUCGAGGGGAAACGACAUCGAAAGCUUGCUUUUGAUGGGCGUCGACCGGCGCACGGGUGAGUAACGCGUAUCCAACCUGCCCAUCACUUGGGAAUAACCUUGCGAAAGUAAGACUAAUACCCAAUGAUAUCCCACGAAGGCAUCGGAAUGGGAUUAAAGAUUUAUCGGUGAUGGAUGGGGAUGCGUCUGAUUAGCUUGUUGGCGGGGUAACGGCCCACCAAGGCAACGAUCAGUAGGGGUUCUGAGAGGAAGGUCCCCCACAUUGGAACUGAGACACGGUCCAAACUCCUACGGGAGGCAGCAGUGAGGAAUAUUGGUCAAUGGGCGAGAGCCUGAACCAGCCAAGUAGCGUGCAGGAAGACGGCCCUAUGGGUUGUAAACUGCUUUUAAGGGAAUAAAGUGGGUCACGUGUGACUUUUUGCAUGUACCUUAUGAAUAAGGACCGGCUAAUUCCGUG
rnacentral:rRNA from 1 species